UACGGGGGGGGCAAGCGUUGUUCGGAAUCACUGGGCGUAAAGGGCGCGUAGGCGGCCAUUCAAGUCGGGGGUGAAAGCCUGUGGCUCAACCACAGAAUUGCCUUCGAUACUGUUUGGCUUGAGACCGGAAGAGGUUAGUGGAACUGCGAGUGUAGAGGUGAAAUUCGUAGAUAUUCGCAAGAACACCAGUGGCGAAGGCGGCUAACUGGUCCGGUUCUGACGCUGAGGCGCGAAAGCAUGGGGAGCGAACAGG
rnacentral:rRNA from 1 species